rnacentral:rRNA from 1 species
AACGAACGCUGGCGGCAGGCUUAACACAUGCAAGUCGAACGGGUGUAGCAAUACAUCAGUGGCAGACGGGUGAGUAACACGUGGGAACCUUCCUAGGGGUACGGAACAACUCAGGGAAACUUGAGCUAAUACCGUAUACGUCCGUGAGGAGAAAGAUUUAUCGCCCUUAGACGGGCCCGCGUCGGAUUAGCUAGUUGGUGGGGUAACGGCCUACCAAGGCGACGAUCCGUAGCUGAUCUUAGAGGAUGAUCAGCCACACUGGGACUGAGACACGGCCCAGACUCCUACGGGAGGCAGCAGUGGGGAAUCUUGGACAAUGGGCGCAAGCCUGAUCCAGCCAUGCCGCGUGAGUGAAGAAGGUCUUCGGAUUGUAAAGCUCUUUUGCCAGGGACGAUAAUGACGGUACCUGGAGAAUAAGCCCCGGCAAACUUCGUGCCAGCCGCCGCCGUAAGAC